rnacentral:rRNA from 1 species
GAUGAACGCUAGCGAUAGGCCUAACACAUGCAAGUCGAGGGGCAGCAUAGAGUAGCAAUACUUUGAUGGCGACCGGCGCACGGGUGAGUAACACGUAUGCAACCUACCUACAUCAGGGGAAUAACCCGGAGAAAUUCGGACUAAUACCGCAUAAUACAGGGAUGCCGCAUGGCAAUAUUUGUUAAAGAUUUAUCGGAUGUAGAUGGGCAUGCGUUCCAUUAGCUAGUUAGUGAGGUAACGGCGCACCAAGGCAACGAUGGAUAGGGGAACUGAGAGGUUUGUCCCCCACACUGGAACUGAGACACGGACCAGACUCCUACGGGAGGCAGCAGUGAGGAAUAUUGGUCAAUGGACGAGAGUCUGAACCAGCCAAAUCGCGUGAAGGAAGACUGCCCUACGGGUUGUAAACUUCUUUUGUACAGGAAUAAAAGACAUUACGUGUAAUGUAUUGCAUGUACUGUACGAAUAAGCAUCGGCUAACUCCGUGCCAGCCGCCGCAGUAA